rnacentral:rRNA from 1 species
GUGGGGAAUUUUGGACAAUGGGCGCAAGCCUGAUCCAGCAAUGCCGCGUGCAGGAUGAAGGCCUUCGGGUUGUAAACUGCUUUUGUACGGAACGAAAAGCCCUGGGUUAAUACCCUGGGGUCAUGACGGUACCGUAAGAAUAAGCACCGGCUAACUACGUGCCAGCAGCCGCGGUAAUACGUAGGGUGCGAGCGUUAAUCGGAAUUACUGGGCGUAAAGCGUGCGCAGGCGGUUUUGUAAGACAGAGGUGAAAUCCCCGGGCUCAACCUGGGAACUGCCUUUGGGACUGCAAGGCUAGAGUACGGCAGAGGGGGAUGGAAUUCCGCGUGUAGCAGUGAAAUGCGUAGAUAUGCGGAGGAACACCGAUGGCGAAGGCAAUCCCCUGGGCCUGUACUGACGCUCAUGCACGAAAGCGUGGGGAGCAAACAGGAUUAGAAACCCGAGUAGUCC